AUGUAGUUUCGGCGGGAAGCAAGCAAACGCUUCCUCCGCACCCUUUUUCCCUUCCUCGGCCCAGCUGAAGUGUGGUGGCGAUACCGUGAAAAAACAGAGGGCACACGCAAGGCUGGGCCCAACGGCACACCUCAACCAAGUUUCCUCUCCACCUUCCUUAGCUGUGAGAUGCUUUUUUAAGCUGAAAUCCAUCGAUUCUCUCAGGGAGACCAGCAUGAUCUCCCAGCUCCAUGAUAUACCCAGCUGUGAUGGGACUGAAGGUAGCCAUGGCAGUGCUUGGUAACCCAACUGACUCAUCCCUAUUUCUUUUACUACACUACUCCUGGCCGGUCCAGUUCCAAGGUCACAGCUGCUGGACCGCAACAAGUGGUGCCCAGGGACCCUCAUAUUGAGGGGCCUGUCAGGAUUGGGUUGGUGGGGAAGCUGACUGGUAGCCCAUUCCAUUCCGCUGGUGUAGCUUUGGAAGCAAUGUCAGGCCUGACAAUUUUUAGUGAGUUUCAACAACCACUGAGAGUCGACUCGUGGAUACCUGCAACAGAGAGCAGGUGAGUGAAAGAGGGGACAUUUACCCAUUGUCCUGUUUUAACUGGGAGGGCAUAUCCCAUCCCAAUCCAAAGUCAUGAAGAUACAUUCAGGAAUUUCUGCUGUAGGGGGGGACAUAUAUGGACAUUUUAAGUUCAUGGUACCAGCUCACAGGAAGAAGACUGGAAAAUGAGAGUUAAAGGCCAUCAUGAAGUGGGUCUUCCAUAAUAUCCCUGAUACUGCGGACACCAAUAUAUAUUCUUAUAUGCGGACUUUUGAGACUUGAUGGGGAUAAAGUUUUAUGACCCAGCAACCAUCCGUGGCACUACGCGUGCUCCCCACCUUCUGCAUGAUUUUAAAAAUGAAAACAGAAAAAAGUGCCACAACCCUAGUUUUCACACCAGCUCCCAACCUGAGACUGUUUCCAAACCUUCUAACCCUGGGAGUGGGACACAAAAUUAGAGCCUAUCGCAGACGUGGGAGCCUGUGCAGACUGCAAUUCCUGCCAUUUCGUGUCCUCCUUCUUCUCACCCAUUGGACUGCCCUGGAGUGGGAUAUGGAGUCGAAAACACCACCAUGCGCAAAUGAAGCUCCAGUAAUUCCAGUUACUCUGCUGUCCUGUUUCCCCCUCCGCCUCCUCCACUCGGGGCUCAAGUGGGUGACGGCUAUGCCAUCUCGGACCUCUCCCGCUCCGUCCUACCUGUUCCUGCACUGUUUCCUUGUCCCUCCUUCUCUACUGUCCCAACUAACUGCCAUUUUAACAUUGAGCGCCAUUGUGUAACACAGUCCACUAACUACCACAUGGUGUGCCACCUUAUCAAGUUGUCAGUCCUCCCCUCAACUCCACCCCUGCCCCUCCAGACCACACCCCUUCCACCUCGGGCCACACCCUUUCUGGGGGACCUGGAACCACAUCCACCAUGGUUCCAGAAGUACUACCUAUGAACAUUGUGAUGCCCAUGUAGUCUGCACUGAGGACCGUACCAGAGGCCAAGCACCACUACUACCGCUCCAUCAAUAGUAAAAUGUUAUGCUCAUGUCUGGUUAUUCUUCCUUGUCAUCCUCUGAGGAAAAUCUCAGCCCUUCCGGAUCUGGUGACACCGAGGAUCCAUAGGAGAGGAUCCAGAAGACUGUGGUAAAGGAGGGGGAUUAUGAGAUAGUCUUGAAAUUUAUUUUUGCUCUGGUACACUAUUGAAGGAGGGCAAACGUGAAUAUAGGCUCCCAGUAUAGGAGCCAUUGUCCUCCGCUGGGAAGGUGAAAGAACUGUGUAGGACCACUAGAGUAUGGGAAGGGAUCACCUUACUUCAACACCAUAAUUCAGGCUACUUUCACUGCACACAACCGCCCCAUGAUAUGCAGUACAUAAUGACCAUGCUGUUAUACCCUACAGAAUGCACCCUUUGGGGAGGAGAGUGGACUAUGCUAGGGACCAAGCAUGGGCAAAUUUAACUUUACACCAUCUCACAGGAGAAGGGGCACACACCCAACCCAAUGACCAAGCUGCAUGCCUCCCUAGACCUGUCCUAAAUGAUAUCAAGGAUGUCAAGGAUAAGGGCUAGAAAGGCCCUUAUGCAGGUGGUCAAUAUUAGUACCCCUAAUCAUGACUUUCUGGAUGUCAGACAAAAGCCUAAUGAGCCCUACAUGAAAUUUAAUGAUAGACUCAAAGUCGCACUUGAAAGACAAAUUUUGCUAGAAAGGUACUCAGAAAGCUAGCUGUCUUCAAUGCCAACUCAGAGUGCAAAACGGUUCUAUGUUCUUUACCACCUAAGCCAGAACCUACUUUGACACAAAUGAUGGAGGCUUGCAAUUGCCUCGGAACUCCAAAACACUCAGGUGCUUUAUAGGCACAGGUGGUAGGACAAGGAAUUACAGAAGCUUUAGCCACAAUGCGAGUCGUCCUUCAAAGGCAAGAGCAACAGAACCCAAAGCCUUGUUUUGGAUGUGGCAAAAAGGGAUAUUUCAUAAAGGACUACCCCCAGAGAGGAGCAAAACUCACUCCUAGGACCUGUAAAUGCAAAAGAAAUUAUCAAAGCACUAACCAAUUCUGCACAAAAUAGGGAAGUUUUAGCAGGCCACCACCAGGAAACUUCCAGCGGAGCGCAGAAUGGCCCCACGUGAGGGCACAAGUAACCCAGCCGUCACUGCCCACCAUUACAGAAGGGCAAGUAGCCCAAAGCUUCAGUGCACCAUUUUAGGACUUCCAGCAGUCUUGCCUAUAGGUCCUAAGCUGGGUUUAGGAAGCGCCAAGCUAGUAAUGUUGACAGAUUACUCAGCACACUCUAUUUCCACUGGACAGCUUGAGCCUAAAUAUCAACCAUGGGAACUGUUAAUAUUGGGGAGCUACAGGUCAAAGACUGAGAUUUUUUUUUUGUUUUACCAUCAGUACUAUCAGUAAUAUCGCAACAGGAGACUACAGUAUUAGCUAUGUAUCCUAAUCCACCUUGUUUUAUUCCCCAAGGACUACUAAUUGCACAAGCCAUUUUGCUUCCUAAACAAAACAUCGACAGCAUGCCAAAAUCCGUAGUAAUGUGGACUCAAGUAAUAGGCCACAGCAGACCUCAAUUAACUUGGCCCUUUAGAAUUUAACAACAAGAAAAUUAUAUUAACAAGGCUAGAAAACACUGGUGCGGAAAUGACAUCUCACGAUCCAAGUGGCCCCUGAAGUGGACUCUCAUGAAGCAGCACUUCAGCAAUACCACUAGACCGUGCUACCAUAAAAUAUGAAGAGUUCUCCAACCAUCUGCCAGUGGUUUGUUGUCAAAGUGUUAGAUCCAUUCUGCAAGAAACACCCACAGACCAUCAUCUACCAUUAUAUAGAUGACAUCCUCGUUGCCACAAAAAUGUGUUCAGGCCUAGACAUUGCACCAAGAGCUACCACCACAGCUGCCCAACUGGCAGGGUUCACCAUCACUGAGGAAAAAAUACAGCAAAUGCCACUUUAGAAAUACUUGAGAUUUCAAAUUCUUUCCCAGACCAUGUGAUCACAACAGCUACAACUGAAUGAAAAUCCACAGACACUCCAUGGCUUACAAAAACUACUUGGAACCAUCAGUUGGGUUAGAUCUCUGCUUGGAAUUACUAAUGAAGAUUUGGCUCCACUGUUUGUCCUACUGAAAGGAGAUCCAGUGCUGAAGUCACCCAGACAUCUAACUGAUGAGGCAAAAAAUGCCUUAGGCAAAGUGUCUCAAGCCAUUCAAACUCAGCAAGCACAUCAGAUGAAUCCUGAUUUACCAUUUUUGUUAGCUAUUCUGGGGAAAGAACCUCAACUUCGUGCUCUAAUUUUUAAGUGAGAUUCUACAUCACCUGAUUCUUUGUUAAUUUUAGAAUGGAUUUUCCUACCCCAUCAGCCAGGGAAAACUAUAAUGACAAAACCAGAACUGAUGGCUCGGUCAUAAGAGCUAGGUCACGCUUAAAUUCCCUUUCAGGGAAAGGUUUUUCCAUUAUAUUUUUACCAGUCGCUACUCUAUAUUUGGAAUAGUUAUUACAGCAAUCAGAAUAUUUACAAAACACACUUGAAAAUUUCACCAGAGAAAUUUCAAUUCACUACCCUAAACACAAAUUUUUGCAUUUCUCAUUUAACUUAAUUCUCAAAUCACCAGAAAGUGAUAUACCUCUCUUCACAGAUGGACCUAGACAGUCUCAUAAAUCAGUUACAAUAUGACAAGAUCUGGUAACAAAUAAUUAGAAGUCAGAUAUUGAGACCGUGGAGGGAUCACCACAAAUAGUUGAACUGGCACCUGUUGUCAGAGCCUUGUCUAAAAUCACAGAUACUUUUAAUUUAAUUACUGAUUCUGCUUAUAUUUUGGGAAUCGUCAAAAGAACUAAAAAUGCAUUUCUGAAGUCAGUUAGUAAUGCUAUUCUUUACUUAAAAAAUUAAUUCUCAUUCUUUUUGAGAGACAGCAUCCUUAUUUUGUCAUGUGCAUACAGUCACACACCUCAUCACCAAGAUUCCCAGCAGAAAGAAACACACAAGCUGACACCCUUCCAAUGACUAUACUAACCACACUUCCAAACAUUUUUAAACAGGCACGACUCAGUCACUCUUCUUCCAUCAAAAUGCUCUUAUACUAACACACAUGUUUAACAUCACCAAAGAUCAAGCCAAAGCAAUUAUCACCAUAUGCCUCAAUUGUCAAAAGUAUUCCCUACCAUCUGUCAGGGCAGGAGUAAAUCCUCGAGAGCUACACAGUCUCUGAAUUUAUCAGAGUGAUGUUACACACUACACAUCUUUUGACCAUUUAAAAUAUUUACAUGUUUCAACUGACACCCUCUCAGGAGCAAUUUUUACCUCUGCUCAUGUUGGAGAAACAGCCAAAGAUACCAUCAAACACUUUAUAUGGGCCUUUUUAACUUAAGGCAUCCCACAAGAAAUUAAAACAGAUAACAGACCCACCUAUGUUUCUCAGAAAACACAACUAUUUUUUAAGCUGUAGAGAAUCAAACACACUACAGGCAUUUCACACUCCCCCACAGGCCAAUCAAUUACCGAGAAAGCCCAUAGAGCUCUCAAGUGCCUACUGAACAACAGAAAAGGGAAAUAGAGAUAUUAUCCACCAUAGAGAAGCUUACUAAAGGUAUACAUAGAUUUAACUUUUUGAACAACUCUUUUAUAAAACCAAGUGCACCAGUUAUCAGACAUUUUUCCAACACAAGUGCAAUUAAAAGAAAAAAAACCUAUUUUAAUCAAAGACCUAGAAAUAAGCCAAAUUUUGAGACUAUUUUUGGUGACUACUUGGGGGAAGAGAUAUACUUGUGUUUCCACAGAUAAAAAUCCUCAGUAGAUUCUGACUAAAAAUGUCAAGCUGUACCUACAGCCAUUGCAAGAACACCAAGUCGACAAGCAAAAAGAUCCCCAGAGAUCACACAAAGAAAAACAAAACCCCAACGACCUACAAAUAGUAACCCUUAAUCCCUAACAGUCUACUAUUAUUAAAAUUCUUAGUAUUACCAAAUUUCUUAGGCUUGUUCGCAGAUCGCUCUAUCAUACAUGACCUGCAAAAGACUCCUACUUGAUAUAUCCAUGCUAGUCAACGCUAUGUUCCUCACUAAAACCUAGGAAGUCUACAGCCGAAGCAAAAUGUUUAGAUAACGCUAACCAAUGUCACACAACAAAAAACCUUAUGCCUAUCAAUAACCACUCUAGACAACCCCUUUUCCACCUGCUUAGUAAAGUUGCCAGUGGAUGAGUAGCCAUUAACUAAGGAUGCCAUCUGCAAACUGCAUCUCCACAAUGCACCCUUAAUAACCGGGAUUACUAAGCCUAGGACCUACCACAUGCACCACUAGAACACCAAAAAUUAGAAAUUUUGGGUUCUGUUAAAAUAGAUUUUUAUGUUAAAUUUCAUUACAUUGGUAAGACAGAAGCAAUACAGAAAAUACAGAGUGGCACGAACACCCAAAAAAUAAGAAAUGAGAAAAAAAAUAUGGUGGGAUAUUUCCACCCAUCAUCCUAUCUACAAAAAUGAAAGCAUGUGGUGUAAUUACACCUCAUGCAUCCUCUCCUGAUCCAGUGACUCCCCAUUACAGUUACCAUCUGAAAUACUUCUCAUCAGUGGGGACAGAGCAUAACCUGCCAUUUCAUCACACAUCAAGGGCAGACUAUGCCGCUUAGGGAAGCUUACUCUACUGACACCCAACCUCACAGUGAUUUGUAACAAAAAGAUUAGGCAAAAAAGAUUUGUUCAGCAAUUUAAAGCAGAUUACAAAGACAAAAUUAACUUUUAGAGCUUAACAGAGAGAAUAGCAGCAUUGACAUUAGUCCCUUGGAGUGCUGCAGCAAGAGCUUUAAAAAUGUUAGAUACUCUUAGGUGUUAGCUGAAUAAGCAUACCAACGCUACAUCCAAAGCAUUAAAUGAGCUACUGACUAAUAUUGAUAGCAUCAAGCAUGCCACCCUGCAAAAUAAGGCCAUAGACUUCCUGCUGCUAGCUCAAGGACAUAGAUGCAAGGAAGUCGAGGGCAUGUGCUGCAUAAAUCUGAAAGACCACAGCAAGUCAAUUCACAAAAGCAUCCAAAUAUUAAAAGAAAGAGCCAAGAAACUACAAGUCAAAGACAAUAACAACUAGUUCAAUAGACUAUUUAAAAGUUGGGGUUUAUUGGGCUAGUUGUUGCUUGUGGUCAAAGUUGUAGUAUUAGUUAUUGUAGUUUUUGUUAUUGUGUUAAUGUUGUUACCAUGUUUAAUAAGCUAUUUAUUGAAUGUUUUUAGGAACUCUUUAUGUUCAUUACUUUUAAUAGAAUACAAAGGGGGAGAUGUGGGACUCGGCCAACCUAAGACAGCCAUUAACUUAAAGCUGUGGGAGAAACCUUUUUAGUUUAGGUGAGAAGAAUGAGAUUAUAGGAAUUGUUAUGUUAGUAAGGUUACUCAAGAUAUGGUUGCAUUUCCAGUUCCCGUUCUUGGUUGGUUGUUAGUAUGUUGCAUAUAAGGUAAUGUUCUUGGCUCUUGUUCAUGAUUGGUCCCCUGCUCUCAAAUCGUUCCCUAUAUAUUAUUGUGUUUCCCCCAUUUUUGGGUCCUUUAGAGCUAACCCCCUACUGUGUUAUUAUUUUAUCCAUUAAAGUUCUUUUGUUUUCAGGUAACCCAACUGACCCAUCCCUAUUUCUUUUACUACACUACUCCUGGCCGGUCCAGUUCCGAGGUCGCAGCUGGUGGACCUUGGCAAUCCGUCUCCUGAUUCCCAGCAUUAUUUUUUCGCUACAGGACAGCUUUUCCACCUUUGAUGUCCUGCUUCAAGUAUAUUCUUUUUUCAUUAAGGAAAUACUGAUUUUCUUCUCCUGUUUGCAGGAGAAGAAAACCUGUCUCUUUUUGGUUGCUUUAUUGUUUGUGAAUCACUUGAGAAUAGAAUUUAUUAAUUACCUGCUAUUGCUCAUCUAAUAGGCAAUCACAAGUGUCUUUUCUCAUGGCGUGUGUUAAGCAGCACGUAUUAAGAAUGCUUCUGCAUGACAAAGUGUCAGGCUUUCCCUUUAACUAUUUUAUAUCAUGCAGACAGUCCAGCCCCCAACAUUUAAUGCAGGUUAUAUGAUUUAGAAGAAACAAGACAGAAGCACUCAUAACUCUUGUUGUUUAUUUUAUAGGCAUCCAGCUCGUUAUUAUAAGUAGUCAUUUAUAACAAUGAUAACAGCAUACUACUUAUUUUUGAACAUAGUUUAGAAGAUACAAAUUCUAGCUGAAAAAACACAUGUCUAAAUUAACACAAGAUCUUAUUUGAAUUCUGUCUAACCCUUGAAGUAGCUGGCAUUUGUAAGAGAUGGGGAGGAUCAAAGGGAUAUAGGAAAAGAUGGAAGUGAAUCUUCCACAAUGAGAGUUGGUGAUGGCAGGUAUAGCACACUGGGAUUUUGGAGGUUUGGUAAUACAUCUAGCUCUACUUCUGAAGAAUCAGUAUACAGAUCCCCUCUGUCAAGUGAUACAUAACAUGUUAAUUCAGACUUUAGUCAUUUGGGGAGCAGAAUUACUGGAGUAAUAAGCCUAAGUAUUAUUUUCUAAGGCCAUGUAUGUGAGAAAAUUUGAUUGAGAUGGCAGAAUGGGAAAAUAAUGGGAGCUGGCUGUUAUCCUGGGAUAUGCCACAGAGUCACUAAAUAGGAAGAGAAUUGUUUCACUGUUUUAUACAUCACUUUCCCCAUCAAUGAAAUAGAAGUCAUGAAAUGUGCUGAUUGUUGUGAGGUAUUUUGAUAUCUAUGAUGAAAUGUUGUAAAAAUCUGAGGCUUGUUCCAAAGCCCUUUGAAGUCCUCAGAAGGCCCUUGAUUCAGCUAUCUUAAUAUGCAUUUGCCUUAGUCUACAAGUCCCCUCCCCCCACUCCUGAAAUUUGGAAAUGUACCACCGAAUGCAUUUCUCAAAGAUGGAAAAAUAUAUUCUCAAGUAAUCAUUAUCAUUAUCUUUGACUAUUUGACUAUUCAGUUUGAAUUUAGAAAACAGCAGAAUGAUAUAUGCAUUUGGAUUGUUUGUAAUAUUUUACAAGAUCAAGGUGAAAACUUAGGAGACAGAGGAGGAAAAGCCCCAGCAUGUUUCCCUGACACCAAAGAAAGAACUCUGACAGAAACAAGCUCUGGGGUUUUUUUAUCUUUCUUUUUUGAAGGUGGAUGAAAAAGAUCAGGAGAAACUAUGUCUCAUUAGAAGUGAAUAACUCUGUGGUAAUCCAUACUAAAUUUACCAGGACUUAUCUUCUAAGAAGGUAUUAGAUACCAAAGGGCAGGUAGUUACAUUGAAAAAAAAAAAAAAGUUGAUAUUUAAUUUUUUUUCCAUGUAAUAAAUGAAAUGGCACAGACUUUCCAGAAGAAUUUUAAAUCUUCUAGUGUGAUAGGUAUGGUGAGAGAAGGUUGUAAGAUGAAUGCUCAUUAUUCAACAAAGCCCACAACAAAUGAAAUGUGUGCUGUAAGAACAUACUUUGUUUUCUUUUUUUUUCCUGGAGACUAAAUAGCUUCUUUCAGCUAAAAUAGAAAUGUUGGCUUUAUGAAGAAAACAUUUUUUCCUAAUCAAUAUUUUUUUAACCUCUGGGUUAUUACUUCCUCAAAUAUAUUUUUUUGUUUCAAGAUUGGUCUGUGUACUUUAAUGAAAAAUCUGCAGAACAGACACAUGCUAUUGUUCACAUUAAAACCUUCAAAGGUUAUUACUUGUGAUAGGGCAUUACUUGUCUACAGUACUUUUUUUUUUGGUGAUGUAUCAGGUUCUUGGGAUGUAUGUCUGUGUGUAUAUAUGUAUAAUUGGUACUAAAAAGAACUAGAUGUUUGCAAAGCAUGAAUGCCACAACCUGGUUAAAGACCCAGGAAACACACAUUCUGUUCCUCCUAUGUCAUAUAUUUUAUAUCAUCUAUGUGCCACUUGACUUCUUUAAACUUCAGUUCAGAUAGCUGAUAAAUGAGGUUAAUAUCACAGGAGCAUUUAUCUAUCUUUCUUGACGACUUCAGAAGACUGGUGAUUGCUGGAAACAUCAACAUUUAUAUUUAUUAAACUCCAGGUAAUGUAAAAUGUUUUAACUUUUAAAUUUUUUGUUUUUCUUCAUUUUUAGAAUAGAAAAUAUGAAAAUAAUAUAAAAAGUGAUUUAUACCUAAAAACUCUUAUGCCAGUUAGUAAUUCUCCAGAAGGCUUUUCUCUGCCCAGAUCAUUAUUUAGUGUCACAAAACUGCUUAAAAUCUUAGGAGUCCAAAACUGUGGUUUGUCUCCAUCAGGACUUUGACUGUUGGAUAUCUGUUGGAAAUAGCUCAAUGCUAGUUUUUUUGGAGCUCAGAUCUAAUAUGAGUCAACAGGUCUGAACGUAUACCUUCAAACCAGAUGCAGACAAUACAUCAAAAUAGAGCCUUAGAUAUUUUAUUUUUUUCUUGAGCUUUGGCCAGAGCAGGAUGAACACUGUGUUUGAAACUGCUGAUGCUAUUGAAAAACCCUACUAUAAAACAUCUGUUGCUUUUUUCCUUGAUUACCAAGUUGAAAGCAAGAUUUUAUAAUAAAUGGCAAAUCAUGAUUGCUUCUUUUUCUAUUUCUGUCACCCAUCUUAUUUGGAGAAACUUGUAUAACUGAUGCCUAAUUAUUUGACUCAAUUCCAGUAUGCCUGUAAAGUGUCAGUGUUCUCUCUAAUCCUGCUUCCACAUUAUCAGAAGUUCUUUGUGAACUCUGCUUUUCAGUCCUUUUACACAGUGCACUCUAUCCCACGUGAGUUUGGGUGCACAAUUUUAACUGAGCCUGUAUCACAAAAUUACUUGUAAAAGUAGAAGCCCAGUACCCAUCUCAUUCAUAAAUAUUUUUAAGUAGGAGUCAUGUUCUUAACUGCACUGGACCCAUUUAUCAUUAGUGAUCAAGAUAAAUCUAGAAAAUUGAUUGUAGUACAAUAAAGAUUAAUAAAUAAGUAGGCAUACAUGAUAUAGUAAUAUGAAAUAUUAUGAGACUGGAUUUGAUCCUAUGUGUCCUUUUCUAGCAUACCUACUGUUUUUAUUCUGUUUAAUUUUCUUUCCAGUGUUGGAUCAGAACAAAAUAGAACAAAAUAUCCAGUGGAUUAAUUUUUAAUUCUACAGGUCUUUAAAGUUACUUAAUUUUUUAGAGCUUGAAUAAAUAAUGUAGGAGGAAGAAAGUAUCUCUAGUUUUAAUGUCAGGGGCAGAACAACUUUAUUAGCUAAAUAUGCAGUAUUAUUCUUGUUCAUGGUGUGUUGAACACUUCAUUGGAUUGAACAGAAGAAAACUGAUAAUGUCAGAUCUUCUUUCCUAAAUAUAUAACUAAAUCUCUAGGCAGGUAAAUAGAUGACAAAACAUUUCAUGUGAUGUCAACAGAUAUCUUAGUGAACCUUAUGCUCUUAAAAUGUACAAAACAGUAAAAGAUUCUGAUAGUUUCAGAAUCCUUCUUACCAUGCUUUGCAUGUCAUGUGCCAGAUUCACUUCUCUGCAAUAAUGACAACACAUACUAUGCACAUCAUGAGCAAUGGCUCAAAAAUUAGGUUUCUGAUCUCGUAAUAAAUAUGGGUUGGGUAAUGCAAUGAAAGCCCUUAGCAUUAGAAAGAUUUAAGGAUCCCAGGGCACUGUGUGGCACUACCCCAGCAAGACCUGGCUUUUAAUUAGCUGUGACACACUCUUCCACUCGUACUGCAUCUGCUGAAUACACAUGGUUAUGUUAGUCAGAUGGGCACUGGUUCUAUUGUAGCUAUAGUCAUAAUGAUUAACAGAUAAUGUAAAGAUUGCUUUUUUCCCCCGUUUUUCUGCUGCAUCCUUCUUGCUGCUAUUUCUAGUAUCUAACUGAUCACAGCAAUGCAUAAUAAAUACCAAUAUGAUCUUUUGAAAGCUUUAUUAAAAGCACAAAAUAAUGUCUGCAAGUGAAUGAAUACCUAAGAUACAACCUUACUGAGAUUAGCAUCUGUUUUCUUCUAAGACCUUUCUUCCAAGCAAAACAAUGUACAAAGUACCUUCCAAGGUCAAGUUUAAUAGCAGGAAAUCUCCAGAUAACAGAGGUAUGUAGGAUAACCAAUACAGGCACAUGCUGAAGAAUGAGAAUCUGCAAUGAGUGAACGUCCACCUGCAGCUUUUUCCUCUGAAGCCUUAAUACAGGACCACAGGAAGCUUCUGUUCUUUCAGCUUCUCAGGAAUUAUAGCUGCUACUGUGUCUUGGUGGUACAUUAACCAAAGACUGAACAAUGCAUACGCAUAUGAAGAGCCUCCUUUUGACAUGCUGAGCAGUUAAGGAACAUUGCCACCUCACAGUCAGGCCUCAUGGGGAGAUGUCCUUAUGGUUUUUCUAAAUUUAGGUAUUUUCUGAAAUAGGUGUUACAGAGUGGCUAUUCUAUAAAACUCUAUACCAAUAUUCUUUUGUCCCCAGAACAAAAUUGUAUAUGCAGAGGAGGUUGAAGAAAGAGGAUGAAGAGGCUUUCUAGCUCAAGAAAAUCUUUGUGCUAUAAUCAAAUAUUCUUCAGUAUUUAUGUUCUGGUUUAAAAAUCCUAAGACUGUAUAGACAAUUCCACAGAGCAUUUAAUAUUGCAAACAAAACACCAUGCAGCUUACCCCAGUCAACAGUUUUUCUGAGCUAGAGCAGUUAAUUUCUGCUCCAGGAGAAUCUGAAAAUCUGUCAUUAGCAGCCCAUCUUUCAGAGGACUAAUAUUAGCAGUGCUGUCAACACAGGUUACAGACCUUGUAAAGGAAAGAGAUGCCUCUCCCUGUCCCUUGGCCUACCUGCGCUUAUUGGAUUGGGCCAAAACAGAAAUAAAGGCAUGGGUCCUUAGCAUGUGAUACGGCUAAGGGAACAGUUCUGCAAAUGAGUGAGAAGGCAUCCCCUCUACGAAAAAGUGUGGCACAGAAGAUGGCUCUGUUAAACCUGGGAGCAGAACACUUUAUCCCAUCUACAGCGAUUCCUAGAGGGUGGAGCUUGCGGCAUCUUUUUUCAGCUCUACAAAGGGUUCUCCACCAGAACCUAGAGGAAUUGUUAUGCUAGAUAUCUUCUAUGUGAAGAAGGAAAGGGGAAUGAAGAAAAGACAUCCA